UCUUCCUGGCUUCAUGUCAUCUUGGGUUCACAUCAUCCUGGCUCCAAGGAUGAAGGUCAGCAAAUCUCCCAGAGCUGCGAUGCCUGAAGGUCAGCAUCUACGUCGUUUGAAACUAGUUCCCAGGAUUCUUGUACAAACAUGCUGUUCUUUUAUAAGCUACAUAUUAGUCAGAGUCAG